rnacentral:pre_miRNA from 12 species
ACCCAGACCCAGGUCUGCUGACUCCUAGCCCAGUGCUUGUGAUGGCUGGUGGGCCCUGCAUUAGGGGUCUGGAGGCCUGGGUGUGAAUAUCGCCAG